rnacentral:rRNA from 1 species
GCGGGAUGAGCUCAAGCUUAAAAUCUCUGUGCAGGUUCUGCAUGGCGAAUUGUAGUCUAUGGAGGCGAUGUCAGUGCGGUUGUGCGGGAUAAGUUCCUUGGAAGAGGACAGCAUCGAGGGUGAUACUCCCGUAUGUGCCUGUACAGCUGCGCGUACGACACGUUUUCUUUGAGUCGCGUUGUUUGGGAAUGCAGCGCAAAGUAGGUGGUAAAUUCCAUCUAAAGCUAAAUAUUGGUGCGAGACCGAUAGCGAACAAGUACCGUGAGGGAAAGAUGAAAAGAACUUUGAAAAGAGAGUUAAAGAGUACCUGAAACUGCUGAAAGGGAAUCGAAUCGUUUCCAGUGUCUAUAAUCCAUGACAUAUUUCAUUGGCGCGUGAAUGCGUGCAGCGUUUUGGAAGUGGGUUUCCUCUCCUGGCGUUGUUGUGCGUUUGCUUGCUGGUGCCCUGUGUUGUGGUGGGACGUCAGAGUCAGUUCGUAUGCCGCGGGAAAUGGCUGUCAGGGAGGUAGGUCGCUUCGGUGAUUGUUAUAGCCUGGCAGUUAGUAGUCGUGGUUGGGACUGAGGUGCCUACAACGCGCUUUCGAGUCUGCGGGACUCUCGUCUGGUUGCCUGCUUGGACAGCUUGCUGUGCUAGUGGUCACAUCGGGGCGAUUGAGAUCUGUAGUAACUUGU